GACGAACGCUGGCGGCGUGCUUAACACAUGCAAGUCGAACGAGUGGCGAACGGGUGAGUAAUACGUGAGUAACCUGCCCUCUAGUUGGGAUAAGCCUGGGAAACGGGGUCUAAUACCGAAUAAAGGGGGUUGGGCUCGCGGCCUAUCGGCUGGUUGGUGGGGUGACGUCCUACAAAGGCGGUGACGGGUAGCCGGCAUGAGAGGGUGACCCGCCACAUUGUGACUGGGACAGGGCCCAGACGUCUACGGGAGGGAGCAGUGGGGGAUAUUGCACAAUGGGCGGAAGCCUGAUGCAGCGACGCCGGAUGGGGGAUGAAGGGUUUUGGGUUGUAAACCUCUUUCGCGAUCGAGCCGGUAGGUGGAGAAGAAGCGCCGGCUAACUACGUGCCAGCAGCCGCGGUAAUUC
rnacentral:rRNA from 1 species